GACGAACGCUGGCGGCGUGCUUAACACAUGCAAGUCGAACGGAAAGGCCCUGCUUUUGUGGGGUGCUCGAGUGGCGAACGGGUGAGUAACACGUGAGUAACCUGCCCUUGACUUUGGGAUAACUUCAGGAAACUGGGGCUAAUACCGGAUAGGAGCUCCUGCUGCAUGGUGGGGGUUGGAAAGUUUCGGCGGUUGGGGCUGGACUCGCGGCUUAUCAGCUUGUUGGUGGGGCAGUGGCUUACCAAGGCUUUGACGGGUAGCCGGCCUGAGAGGGUGACCGGCCACAUUGGGACUGAGAUACGGCCCAGACUCCUACGGGAGGCAGCAGUGGGGAAUAUUGCACAAUGGGCGGAAGCCUGAUGCAGCAACGCCGCGUGCGGGAUGACGGCCUUCGGGUUGUAAACCGCUUUCGCCUGUGACGAAGCGUGAGUGACGGUAAUGGGUAAAGAAGCACCGGCUAACUACGUG
rnacentral:rRNA from 1 species